rnacentral:rRNA from 1 species
GACGAACGCUGGCGGCGUGCCUAAUACAUGCAAGUUGAGCGCUGAAGGUUGGUACUUGUACCAACUGGAUGAGCAGCGAACGGGUGAGUAACGCGUGGGGAAUCUGCCUUUGAGCGGGGGACAACAUUUGGAAACGAAUGCUAAUACCGCAUAAAAACUUUAAACACAAGUUUUAAGUUUGAAAGAUGCAAUUGCAUCACUCAAAGAUGAUCCCGCGUUGUAUUAGCUAGUUGGUGAGGUAAAGGCUCACCAAGGCGAUGAUACAUAGCCGACCUGAGAGGGUGAUCGGCCACAUUGGGACUGAGACACGACCCAAACUCCUACGGGAGGCAGAAGUAGGGAAUCUUCGGCGAUGGACGAAAGUCUGACCGAGCAACGCCGCGUGAGUGAAGAAGGUUUUCGGAUCGUAAAACUCUGUUGGUAGAGAAGAACGUUGGUGAGAGUGGAAAGCUCAUCAAGUGACGGUAACUACCCAGAAAGGGACGGCUAACUACGUG